AUCGUUCAACUCUUCGGAGUCGGAAGUAAGCGAAAGCUGAAGGAACGCAAC
ncrna:unclassified sequences Glutamine riboswitch